AACGCAAAUUGCGCUCGAGGCUUCGGCCAAGAGCAUGUCUGCCUCAGCGUCGGGUUAAUACUCACAUUUGCACUCCAUCCAGAGUGCAAAUGUGGAUCUGGCUGUCUCGGUUUAUUUUAAUUAAUUAACCGGGUCAGCUGAAGUGCAGAUGUCAAGGCAUGGACCGUUAAAUCGGGACUCUAAUGGGUAUGCAACUUGUUUGCUGUAUUGAGUUAGUAGAAGGGUUAAGAGCUGUCUUUCGCACGAAGCAGGAAGAACUGUUCAUACAGGUACAACUAAUAUAAUUUUCUUGACCUGAGCUCAGCCAAGAUUACCCGCUGAACUGAA
rnacentral:misc_RNA from 1 species